rnacentral:rRNA from 1 species
GGGCCUCACGCGAUGAGAUGAGCCGAUCGCCGGAUUAGCUAGUUGGCGGGGUAAAGGCCCACCAAGGCGACGAUCCGUAGCUGGUCUGAGAGGAUGAUCAGCCACACUGGAACUGAGACACAGUCCAGACUCCUACGGGAGGCAGCAGGUGGGGAAUAUUGGACAAUGGGGGCAACCCUGAUCCAGCCAUGCCGCGUGUGUGAAGAAGGCCUUCGGGUUGUAAAGCACUUUUGUUGGGGAAGAAACCGGCCGGGUUAAUACCCUGGUUGAAUGACGGUACCCAAAGAAUAAGCACCGGCUAACUUCGUG